UACGAGGGAUGCAAGCGUUAUCCGGAAUUAUUGGGCGUAAAGCGUUUGUAGGCGGGCGAGUGUGUUUAAUGUUAAAUCUUAAAGCUCAACUUUGAAAUUGCGUUAAAAACUGCUUGUCUUGAGUAUGGUAGGGGUAAAGGGAAUUCCCAGUGUAGCGGUGAAAUGCGUAGAUAUUGGGAAGAACACUAAACAGCGAAGGCACUUUACUAGGCUAAUACUGACGCUGAGAAACGAAAGGUAAGGUAGCGAAACGGAUUAGAUACCCGUGUAGUCUUACCCGUAAACUAUGGACACUAAACGGUAAAUUUUUAAUUUACUGUUAAAGCUAACGCGUUAAGUGUCCCGCCUGGGGAGUAUGCUUGCAAAAGUGAAACUCAAAGGAAUUGACGGGGGCCCGCACAAGCGGUGGAGCAUGUGGUUUAAUUCGACGGUACACGAAGAACCUUACCAGGAUUUGACAUGCUAGAUAGUUGCUUGAAAGAGUAACGUGCCGUAAGGAAUCUAGACACAGGUGGUGCAUGGCUGUCGUCAGUUCGUGUUGUGAAAUGUUGGGUUAAGUCCCGCAACGAACGCAACCCUUGUCUUUAGUUAUUUUCUAAAGAGACUGCCUGUAAUAAACAGGAGGAAGGUAAGGAUGAGGUCAAGUCAUCAUGCCCCUUAUGUCCUGGGCUACACACGUGCUACAAUGGGAAAGACAAUGAGCUGCAAAUCUGUAAAUUUAAGCAAAUCUCUUAAACUUCCUCGUAGUUCGGAUUGUGGGCUGCAACUCGCCCACAUGAAGUUGGAAUCGCUAGUAAUCGCCAGUCAGCUAUAUGGCGGUGAAUCCGUUCCCGGGCCU
rnacentral:rRNA from 1 species